rnacentral:tRNA from 1 species
GGGGAUGUGGCUCAAGCUGUAGCGCGCUCACCUGGCAUGCGAGGGACCCGGGUUUGAUCCUCGGCACCACA